ACAAAUUAUUUCAUCUUCUAAUGAACUCCUGUGUUGUGGUGAAGUCCUUAGGACUAUUUAGACGCAACAAAGGAGGAUUUGUCGUUUAGUCCUUAAACCUGUUCGUGAUCAAAUGAUACGUUGUUACCAAGGACAAUAAUGUUUAUCAAGCAUAGGUCGUUGUGUGCCAUAUAGGUUGGUUGUCCUCUUAACCAAGGAGUGUGGAGACACUGGUAUGGCA
rnacentral:lncRNA from 1 species